rnacentral:rRNA from 1 species
CAAUAGCGUAUAUUAAAGUUGUUGCAGUUAGAACGCUCGUAGUCGGAUUUCGGGGCAGUCCGACCGGUCUGCCGAUGGGUAUGCACUGGCCGGAGUGUCCUUUUUGCCGGAGACCGUGCCUACUCUUAACUGAGCGGGGGCGGGAGACGGCACUUUUACUUUGAAAAAAUCAGAGUGUUUCAAGCAGGCAGCUCGCUCUUGCAUGGAUUAGCAUGGGAUAAUGAAAUAGGACUUUGGUGCUAUUUUGUUGGUUUCGAACACCGAAGUAAUGAUGAGAAGGGACAGUCAGGGGCACUCGUAUUCCGCAGAGAGAGGUGAAAUUCUCAGACCCGCGGAAGACGGACCACUGCGAAAGCAUUUGCCAGGGAUGUUUUCACUGA